GUGAAUCAUCAAAUCUUUGAACGCAAAUUGCACUCUCUUCGGAGAGUAUGCCUGUUUGAGGGUCAGUAUUAAUAAAAAUCGGCGUGUUGCUUCUUUGUGACGCUCCGUCGUUUGGGUCAUCUUAAUAUCCUUUAGUUUUUAAGUGGCUUAAAUUUGAUUUUUUUUGCGCAUUUUAGAUGGACUUAAAUUUUUUUUUUAUUCGUCUGUCUUAAUUCUCUCU
rnacentral:misc_RNA from 1 species